AUUGAACGCUGGCGGCAGGCUUAACACAUGCAAGUCGAGCGGGGUGAUGGUGCUUGCACUAUCACUUAGCGGCGGACGGGUGAGUAAUGCUUAGGAAUCUGCCUAUUAGUGGGGGACAACAUCUCGAAAGGGAUGCUAAUACCGCAUACGUCCUACGGGAGAAAGCAGGGGAUCACUUGUGACCUUGCGCUAAUAGAUGAGCCUAAGUCGGAUUAGCUAGUUGGUGGGGUAAAGGCCUACCAAGGCGACGAUCUGUAGCGGGUCUGAGAGGAGGAUCCGCCACACUGGGACUGGGACACGGCCUAGACUCCUACGGGAGGCAGCAGUGGGGAAUAUUGGACAAUGGGGGGAACCCUGAUCCAGCCAUGCCGCGUGUGUGAAGAAGGCCUUAUGGUUGUAAAGCACUUUAAGCGAGGAGGAGGCUCUUUUGGUUAAUACCCAAGAUGAGUGGACGUUACUCGCAGAAUAAGCACCGGCUAACUCUGUGCCAGCCGCCGCCGUAA
rnacentral:rRNA from 1 species